AUUUCGAGAAAAAUUAGAAUCCUGCGCUCCAAUUAAUCGCCGCAGAAAGAUAUCGUCGCAAUGGAAAUGUAUAGAUGAGAGAGUAGGCUUAGAAAAAAUCAAAGUAAAGUUGUCUGUCAAUUUGAGAAAAUCGUGAUAAUGCAAAUGGUGACGGCGGCUGCGACAUCGUCCGGAAUGGCCGGAACGACGACGUUGGCUGGCCAAUCCGAGGGUGGACGAAGCAACUGUUGAAGUGACAGAGUUGUCGGUGCGGACAUGCGACGGCUACCCCGGGACCUACUGUGGACAGCGGUGUCCGUGCUAUGCCGUUUCCAAGUCCUGUUUGGACUCGUUGGAGUGUCGGGGAUGUUGGAACCUGCAUCGGGUCGACGGCAGGAAGGUCCGCCCUCACAUUCCAGAGCUACAGAACCUAGAGAUCAACCUGCACAACGCAACGGCAAGCGAGGCGCUCUCCAUAGCCACGACCAUCGUACUGGCGCCCUAAUCCACCAGCGACGUAAACCCGGUUGUCGGUUCCGGCCCGGGAGGUGGUCAAAAUCUACGACAAGCUUACUUACAAAAAAACAAAUUGAAUGUGAUGUGAACUGUGAAGAGAACAAAAUUUAAACGAAAUAAAAGAAAAAACU